GUGUGAAAUUGAUGCACACGAACCACUAGAUUCUUGUGCACUCCACACUUUUGAUACAAAUAAAAGCACGUGAAGAUCGUUUCCUAGCAACUGUGAAAUCCAUCAACUGUCAAGUUUCAAGACCUCAAAGACUGAUCUAAAGAAUGGCUACUCCUGGUGUUGCCACUACACUGAGAUGCAGUGCUAACUGCCGAUGUGAAGUCUGUCGAUGCUGUAGCUCAGCGAAAUCGCUAGAUCAACAAACCAGAUGUAGUCCAAACUGCGGUUGCGACAUCUGUCGGUGCUGUGAGGCAGUUAAGCAAAAGCAAGGAAGAUGCAGUAGCAGCUGCCGGUGCGAAGUUUGUAGGUGCUGCGAAGCAAUAAAGGGAAGAUGCAGUCCCAACUGCAAAUGUGACGUUUGCAGAUGCUGUGAAGGAGCAAAAUGUUAAAAUAAUGCUUUGUUUUUACUGUUUAAUUUGAUAUUAUUGUUUAAACAAUGGAAAUAUUGUACAAUGCUUGAGUGAACAACCUAUAUUUUUUGUAACUUUUUAAG